rnacentral:rRNA from 1 species
CCUACGGGGGGCAGCAGUGAGGAAUAUUGGUCAAUGGGCGCGAGCCUGAACCAGCCAAGUAGCGUGAAGGAUGACUGCCCUACGGGUUGUAGACUUCUUUUAUAAAGGAAUAAUGUGAGGCACGUGUCCCUUUCUGUUUGUACUUUAUGAAUAAGGAUCGGCUAACUCCGUGCCAGCAGCCGCGGUAAUUCGGAGGAUCCGAGCGUUAUCCGGAUUUAUUGGGUUUAAAGGGAGCGUAGAUGGGUUGUUAAGUCGGUUGUGAAAGUCUGCGGCUCAACCGUAGAAUUGCAAUUGAUACUGGCAGUCUUGAGUACAGUUGAGGUAGGCGGAAUUCGUGGUGUAGCGGUGAAAUGCUUAGAUAUCAGGAAGAACUCCGAUUGCGAAGGCAGCUUACUAAACUGCGACUGACAUUGAGGCUCGAAAGUGUGGGUAGCAAACAGGAUUAGAUACCCUUGUAGUC